GGACGAACGCUGGCGGCGUGCCUAAUACAUGCAAGUCAACGGCUUUCUAUGGAAGCUUGCUUCCACUGAGAAGAUAGUGGCGAACGGGUGAGUAACACGUGGGUAACCUGCCCAUAAGAGGGGGGAUAACAUCCGGAAACGGGUGCUAAUACCGCAUAGUUUCUUGAUUGCAUGAUUGAGAAAGGAAAGACGGCCUUUGUGCUGUCGCUUAUGGAUGGACCCGCGGCGUAUUAGUUAGUUGGUGAGGUAACGGCUCACCAAGACGAUGAUACGUAGCCGACCUGAGAGGGUGAUCGGCCACAUUGGGACUGAGACACGGCCCAAACUCCUACGGGAGGCAACAGUAGGGAAUCUUCCGCAAUGGACGAAAGUCUGACGGAGCAACGCCGCGUGAGUGAAGAAAGGUUUUCGGAUCGUAAAACUCUGUUGUCAGAGAAGAACAAGUUGGAGAGUAACUGCUCCAGCCUUGACGGUAUCUGACCAGAAAGCCACGGCUAACUACGUGCCAGCAGCCGC
rnacentral:rRNA from 1 species